GUUUUAAUUUUUACCUUCAAUAUUUACAUAUUGCAUGCUUUUCAGUUGGGUGUUUCCUUUCUUGCUAUAGUUUACGUGUAUGCUUAUUCUCUUUAAAAUGCAUGCUUUCUAACUUUGACUAAUGCUGGUAUCUCUCUUAUGAGAGGAUUUUCAGGUGAUUUCUGUUCUACAUCCUUGACUGCUUCUCCUCAGAUAUGACUUUGACACUCAGUAUGCUUUCGUUGGUGAUUAUUCUGGGCAGAUCACCCUGCUGAAGCUUGAACAGAACACGUGUUCAGUCAUCACAACCCUCAAAGGACAUGAAGGUAGUGUCGCCUGCCUCUGGUGGGACCCUAUUCAGCGGUUACUCUUCUCAGGAGCAUCUGACAACAGCAUCAUCAUGUGGGACAUCGGAGGAAGAAAAGGCCGGACGCUCUUACUUCAGGGCCAUCAUGACAAGGUGCAGUCGCUGUGCUACCUUCAGUUCACCAGGCAGCUCGUCUCCUGUUCCUCGGACGGCGGAAUUGCAGUGUGGAACAUGGAUGUUAGCAGAGAAGA
rnacentral:sRNA from 1 species